rnacentral:rRNA from 1 species
GCGGCCUACGGGGCGCAGCAGUGGGGAAUAUUGAGCAAUGGGGGAACCCCUGACGCAGCAACGCCGGGUGAGAGAAGAAGGCCUUCGGGUUGUAAAGCUCUUUAAUCAGGGACGAAGAAUGACGGUACCUGCAGAAUAAGCUCCGGCUAACUACGUGCCAGCAGCCGCGGUAAUACGUAGGGAGGAAGCGUUAUCCGGAUUUACUGGGUGUAAAGGGCGUGUAGGCGGGCGUGCAAGUCAGAAGUGAAAUCUGGGGGCUUAAACCCCAACCUGCUUUUGAAAAUGUGGGGCUUGAGUGGUGGAGA